UAGGUCUGAAGGCAAUUGAUACUUACAAAGAAGUGGCGACAACAUUCUCUGCUGGUAAAACUAGAAUGUGCUGCAAGUCGCAGUCGAACCAGUUAUUACGAAAGGACUAAAGUUUCUUCCACAACAAAACAGCAGGAUAAGGCACAGGAGAAGAGGCGGCGGCGAAGGAGGCCAAGGAUUGGGAGUAUUUGGAUGUGAUGCAUCAAUAUGGAUCACAAAAAGAUAGAAACUACAUCAGCCUUCGGAAAAUGUGCAUCGCGUUUCUGCACACAGCAGAAGACAAACAGCUCUGAACGACUCCAUAAAUUGAAGAAAUAUAUUAUUUGAGCAAAUGGUCUAGACGGACUAUCCACA